rnacentral:rRNA from 1 species
AUACGGAGGGUGCAUGCGUUACUCGGAAUCACUGGGCGUAAAGCGCGCGCAGGCGGCUAUUUAAGUUGGAUGUGAAAGCCUACGGCUCAACCGUAGAACUGCAUCCAAAACUAUUUAGCUAGAGUGUGGGAGAGGAAGAUGGAAUUAGUUGUGUAGGGGUAAAAUCCGUAGAGAUAACUAGGAAUACCAAAAGCGAAGGCAAUCUUCUGGAACACUACUGACGCUGAGGCGCGAAAGCGUGGGGAGCAAACAGGAUUAGAAACCCGAGUAGUCC